rnacentral:rRNA from 1 species
UACGUAGGGUGCAAGCGUUGUCCGGAAUUAUUGGGCGUAAAGGGCGCGUAGGCGGUCAGCACAAGUCAGUUGUGAAAUCUCCGGGCUUAACCCGGAAAGGUCAACUGAUACUGUGCGACUAGAGUGCGGAAGGGGCAACUGGAAUUCUCGGUGUAGCGGUGAAAUGCGUAGAUAUCGAGAGGAACACCUGCGGCGAAGGCGGGUUGCUGGGCCGACACUGACGCUGAUGCGCGAAAGCCAGGGGAGCGAACGGG